CAGACCGAUCGAGGAAAGGAAGUUUACUAGAGAGUUGUUCUGCCGUAGCCUAUCAAUAUAGCGAAUUCACAUUUUGUCCUACAAUCAAGAGGUUGCGUCUUCUUCACUAUGGUGAGUUUGGAGGAAUUUCGGUAAUUUUAUUUGAUUUUUAUAAGUCCCCCCUAUCUUUCCACUUUUUAAAUGAAUCAUACUAGUCUACUGUGCGUUUCCAAAUAAUAAGUAGAGUAAUAAUAAAUGCUAGGUCUACCCAUUUCACCUUAAACAUUGUGGAAAAAGGUUAUGUUUAGGCCCAUGUGAACAGUAAUUCACCAGCGACCAAAGGGAGAGCAACCUCCCAGGUCAAAUCCAGUGCAGAGGACUUUGAUGGGGACCUGACUGAGUUCACUUCCAAAUUAAUUUCUGCAGAGGAUCUGGAACGUAUGCAUCUUUCUUCAGAACCUCACAGACUUAGCUCACCAAGGCUUAAUUUAGACCUCAGGGCUGAGACGCUGAAGGUUGUGCGGGAUGCUGCAACAGGUCAAGAACAGGCUUUGAAGGUGGCCAUAGAAAGCAUGAGGAGAGAGAUGAAACAAGUGAUGAGGAGCAGACAGGGGGAAAGAGAGAGGAAGUUAGCGGUCCUGCUGGAGGGUAGACAGACGCGGGUCACACAAAUGGAGAAAUGGAACGAGGGAAAGAAACACAUCUCCCAUCAAAAAAGGGAAGAAGGAGAGUGUGCAAUGCUCAAAGACGCUAUUGCUCAGCUACCCAGGGUAAUACAUUCCCUGGACCGCAUGAGAAUGGUGGAGCUUGAGGAGUGGGUGAAGAAAGAGGAAGAAGAGGACAGCUUGGAGUGGGCAACGUGGAGGGAGCAAGUUUUACACUUGGACACCAUCACCAGGCAGCAGAGCAGAGACGCAGUGGCCAGAGUCGCUCAGCUCUGGAAUACAGCAGAAAAUGGAGGACGCCAGAACAUUAGUGCUGCGACACUGGCUCUGCCAUCACAACUCCCUCCUCUGCCAUCCAAGCUCCCUCUACUGCCAUCACAACUUCCUCCUCUGCCAUCCAAGCUACCCCCAUUGCCAGCCAAGCUCCUCCCUUUGAACCCACCCCUUCUGAGAGCAUUCUGCAACCCAGUUGCCCCUCUGCCUCCCAUACAGUGCAAGAGAGAACAAGAGGACCUAGACUUAGAAAGUGUUUCAGAACAUUCCACGCAGGUGAAAGAACCAUCAGACCAUCAGAACCAUGUCAUACUCCUCACCAGUAUAACCCAGGAUAGAGUUUUAUGGUAGUGCUGUGGCAGAGCACUUGAUGGUGAAUCUGGAUGCUGAUGGUCAAAGUCCAGAGGCUACCAGCACAUUGUCCUCUGAGUCCCUAGCAGCAGGUGACAGCGGGGUAGAGCAAGAGAGGAAAAAGACGAGAAGCAUUAAAGAGAGGUUUUUCCAUUUCCUCGGACAACGGAACUGCUGCAGUGCAAGAGGACUAAGCAGGCCCACCAACCCACUGUGACCAUUUGUAUUAGUUUCAUUUUCCUAGCUACCAUAAAUAAAUUCAAUAGAAAUCCA